AAUUCAUCUUAACAUUAAUUACUGAUUUACACAUUUAACACCUUCUAAAAAAAAUAGAAAAUAUUACCAGACUAAAAAUUAUUGGGGUGAUUCUGUUGUUUUAUCAAAUUGUGCUACCUUAAAGUGACUUGACCUAAGAGAUUUAUAGAUGCAUAAAAUGGCAAAAGAAGGUCACUACUGCAACCAAAUGGGUUUCCCAAUAUUAUACUGAUUUAUUUCAACAGUGCAAACAGUCCCAGGAUUGUUAAUCGGUGCAAACACAUAAUUUUUCUUUAAUCUGUGUGGUUGCCCCGAGUCCCCUUGGGGAGAUGGUGGUUGUCAAGAGUCAGACGCCAAUUAGCGAACAAAAAUAGAGUUUAUUCAGCAGAUAAGCCAAAAGGUAAUGUUAACACAGAAAAAACCUUGAAACACUUCACUAUCAGUGCUUCAAGAGCAGUUCAAACAAAAAUAUAAUUCAGCAACACAAGCAGGUAAAAACAAAGCUAAACAAACUUAGUGCAAACUGCACUUUCUGAGUCCAAGCCCUGCCAGCCGGCUCUGUAGUUUUCAAAGGAACAGUUCCCAAAAGAAAACACCAAAUUGGUCAGGAAACAAACAAACAAACUAAGAAUGCAGUAGACUGCUUCCACAAUGUGGAUAAAGCCGAAGGCUCCAAAAGGAUGGUGAAAAGACGUCGUCCGGGAUUCCAAGGUCAGGUCAGGAGAUAACAGCGGUGUCCAAAGAGCAAGCCAGGAGUCAAAAGCCGAUAGUAGUCAUCAAUCACAGGGCGAAGGCAGUAGCAAGGUCAAAUUCCGGUCCAAGGUCUGAAGAGGGUGCAGUCAUCCAAAACAGGUCCACGAUAAGACACAGUGAGAGCCAAGCUAGGUGAUAACAACAGAUUCAAAUCAUAGUCCAAGUCCAGUCUUCAUGGAAACACAGAGAUCCCAAUGGCGCCUCAGCAACACCUUGCCACACGCAAAGUGCAGUGGCCAAACAUUCCCAUUUUAUUCCUCUACCUCCUGGGUGACCAAACACUCACACCCGAACACCAGGUGUCCCAAAUCUACUCAGAAUCUGAGCUCCACACAGCUAGAGCUUAUGGAUCUGGAGUACCUAGCAAUUCGUCAGAGUCCCAAUCAUCCUGCCCACACAGCUAGAGCUCGUGGAUCUGGAGUACCUAGCAAUUCGUCAGAGUCCCAAUCAUCUUGCCCACACUUAGCCCCAUGAACACUUAAAGAACCAUCCUCCCUUCUCCAAGCAUCCCAAUUGGGAUCAGCUCCUGCAGAAACCCCAGGUUCAGAAGUAUCCAUAGACCCCAAAUCCCCAGACAUCUCCGGUGGCUGUGCCCAUUCAGUGCCCGCUUCCCCAGCCACCACCUGUUCCUCAGCAUCCAUCUCCCCAUCUGAAUCUUCCUCAGAAGAUCCCCCAUAUAGCUCUCUAAGUCGCUUCCUGCGCAACUCCUCCAGUGAACCCUCAUCACGAGGGUUUUUUCUUCCUCUUCGAAUUCCAUCCCCAUCAACCAUAAUCCCCGAAGGCGCAGUCACAACAAUAUGUGUAAACUAUGAUCAGCUCUGAGUCCCUCCAGGGAGAAAAAGUGGAAUAUAAAUAAACUGUAUCAUCAUCAUUAUUAUUAUUAUUAUUAUUAUUAUUAUUAUUAUUAUUAUCAUCAUCAUUAUUUUAUGACACAGCAAACAAGAUAG
rnacentral:lncRNA from 1 species